GAUGAACGCUGGCGGCGUGCCUAACACAUGCAAGUCGAGCGAUUCUCCUCGGAGAAGAGCGGCGGACGGGUGAGUAACGCGUGGGUAGCCUGCCCUGUACACACGGAUAACAUACCGAAAGGUAUGCUAAUACGAGAUAAUAUGCUUUUAUCGCAUGGUAGAAGUAUCAAAGCUCCGGCGGUACAGGAUGGACCCGCGUCUGAUUAGCUAGUUGGUAAGGUAACGGCUUACCAAGGCGACGAUCAGUAGCCGGCCUGAGAGGGUGAUCGGCCACAUUGGAACUGGGACACGGUCCAAACUCCUGCGGGAGGCAGCAGUGGGGAAUAUUGCACAAUGGGCGAAAGCUUGAUGCAGCAACGCCGCGUGAGUGAUGAAGGCCUUCGGGUCGUAAAGCUCUGUCCUCAAGGAAGAUAAUGACGGUACUUGAGGAGGAAGCCCCGGCUAACUACGUGCCAGCAGCCGCCGUAACAC
rnacentral:rRNA from 1 species